rnacentral:rRNA from 1 species
UUGGAGGGCAAGUCUGGUGCCAGCAGCCGCGGUAAUUCCAGCUCCAAUAGCGUAUAUUAAAGUUGUUGCAGUUAAAAAGCUCGUAGUUGGACUUCAGGCCUGGCUGGACGGUCCGCCUUCCGGGCGAGUACUGUCUGUGGUCGGGUCCUACCUUCUGGCGAAGCGUCAUGGUCUUAACCGGCCGUGGCGGGGAACCAGGACUUUUACUGUGAAAAAAUUAGAGUGUUCAAAGCAGGCAAUUUGCUUGGAUACAUUAGCAUGGAAUAAUGGAAUAGGACAAUGGUUCUAUUUGUUGGUUUCUAGGACUGUUGUAAUGAUUAAUAGGGAUAGUUGGGGGCAUUAGUAUUCAAUUGUCAGAGGUGAAAUUCUUGGAUUUAUUGAAGACUAACUACUGCGAAAGCAUUUGCCAAGGAUGUUUUCAUUAAUCAAGAACGAAAGUUAGGGGAUCGAAGACGAUCAGAUACCGUCGUAGUCUUAACCAUAAACUAUGCCGACUAGGAAUCGGGCGAUGUUGAAAAAAUGACGCGCUCGGCACCUCAUGGGAAACCAAAGUGUUUGGGUUC